UGGGGAAUAUUGCACAAUGGGCGCAAGCCUGAUGCAGCCAUGCCGCGUGUAUGAAGAAGGCCUUCGGGUUGUAAAGUAUUUUCAGCGGGGAGGAAGGGAGUAAAGUUAAUACCUUUGCUCAUGGACGUUACCCGCAGAAGAAGCACCGGCUAACUCCGUGCCAGCAGCCGCGGUAAUACGGAGGGUGCAAGCGUUAGUCGGAAUUACUGGGCGUAAAGCGCACGCAGGCGGUGUGUUAAGUCAGAUGUGAAAUCCCCGGGCUCAACCUGGGGACUGCAUCUGAUACUGGCGGGCAUGAGUCUCGUAGAGGGGGGUAGAAGUCCAGGUGUGGCGGUGAAAUGCGGAGAGAACUGGAGGAAUACCGGUGGCGAAGGCGGCCCCCUGGACGAAGACUGACGCUCAGGUGCGAAAGCGUGGGGAGCAAACAGG
rnacentral:rRNA from 1 species